UGCUCCUGAAUUCAGCGGCGGACGGGUGAGUAAUGCCUAGGAAUCUGCCUGGUAGUGGGGGACAACGUUUCGAAAGGAACGCUAAUACCGCAUACGUCCUACGGGAGAAAGCAGGGGACCUUCGGGCCUUGCGCUAUCAGAUGAGCCUAGGUCGGAUUAGCUAGUUGGUGAGGUAAUGGCUCACCAAGGCGACGAUCCGUAACUGGUCUGAGAGGAUGAUCAGUCACACUGGAACUGAGACACGGUCCAGACUCCUACGGGAGGCAGCAGUGGGGAAUAUUGGACAAUGGGCGAAAGCCUGAUCCAGCCAUGCCGCGUGUGUGAAGAAGGUCUUCGGAUUGUAAAGCACUUUAAGUUGGGAGGAAGGGUUGUAGAUUAAUACUCUGCAAUUUUGACGUUACCGACAGAAUAAGCACCGGCUAACUCUGUGCCAGCAGCCGCGGUAAUACAGAGGGUGCAAGCGUUAAUCGGAAUUACUGGGCGUAAAGCGCGCGUAGGUGGUUCGUUAAGUUGGAUGUGAAAGCCCCGGGCUCAACCUGGGAACUGCAUUCAAAACUGACG
rnacentral:rRNA from 1 species